rnacentral:rRNA from 1 species
GGUAGCCGGCCUGAGAGGGCGACCGGCCACACUGGGACUGAGACACGGCCCAGACUCCUACGGGAGGCAGCAGUGGGGAAUAUUGCACAAUGGGCGCAAGCCUGAUGCAGCGACGCCGCGUGCGGGAUGACGGCCUUCGGGUUGUAAACCGCUUUCAGCAGGGAAGAAGCGCAAGUGACGGUACCUGCAGAAGAAGCGCCGGCUAACUACGUGCCAGCAGCCGCGGUAAUACGUAGGGCGCAAGCGUUGUCCGGAAUUAUUGGGCGUAAAGAGCUCGUAGGCGGUUUGUCGCGUCUGCUGUGAAAACCUCAGGCUCAACCUGGGGCUUGCAGUGGGUACGGGCAGACUAGAGUGCGGUAGGGGUGACUGGAAUUCCUGGUGUAGCGGUGGAAUGCGCAGAUAUCAGGAGGAACACCGAUGGCGAAGGCAGGUCACUGGGCCGCAACUGACGCUGAGGAGCGAAAGCAUGGGGAGCGAACAGGAUUAGAUACCCUGGUAGUCCAUGCCGUAAACGUUGGGCACUAGGUGUGGGGUCCAUUCCACGGAUUCCGUGCCGCAGCAAACGCAUUAAGUGCCCCGCCUGGGGGAGUACGGA